UAAUGUUGGUGAGUUUAGUUGCUGAAUUUGUUCCGCCUUAUAAAAUGUGCAGAAUUUGGAAAGACUCCAAAUGGAAACACAGUUGGACAGUUUAUGCAAGAUUGUUCAAAUACACAACUUUUUAAAACCGUUAAUCUAUGAUAUGAAGGAGACUUGAAUACUGUUAUGAAUUUCAAAGAUGUGACUGGCAGUGAUUAGUGUGUGACACUCUUGAAACAAAGUUAUGUUUAUUCCCAUCUUGUAGCCCCAGGCGGAACACGUAUUGAUGAUGGAGACAGCACCAAGGUGACUGAAUACUGUGUGUUUGGUGCCACCGAGGAUCAACAAAUCAUCCGAAACUAUGCUCAGGUCUUCAAUAAGCUUAUCAGGCGUUACAAAUAUCUGGAAAAAGCAUUUGAAGAUUCAAUUAAGAAGCUGUUGCUAUUCCUAAAAGCAUUUUCAGCUUCAGAACAGACUAAGUUGGCAACGCUUACUGGUAUCCUCUUGGCCAAUGGAUCACUCCCAGCUACGAUUUUAACAAGCCUAUUUUCGGAUAAUUUGGUUAAAGAAGGUAAUACUGGAAGACAUUCAUUUUUUC